CAGUCGCCGCGGGAAUACGAAGGGUGCAAGCGUUACUCGGAAUUACUGGGCGUAAAGCGUGCGUAGGUGGUGGUUUAAGUCCGUUGUGAAAGCCCUGGGCUCAACCUGGGAAUUGCAGUGGAUACUGGAUCACUAGAGUGUGGUAGAGGAUAGUGGAAUUUCCGGUGUAGCAGUGAAAUGCGUAGAGAUCGGAAGGAACACCUGUGGCGAAGGCGACUAUCUGGGCCAACACUGACACUGAGGCACGAAAGCGUGGGGAGCAAACAGGAUUAGAUACCCGUGUAGUCCCUGUCUCUUAUAC
rnacentral:rRNA from 1 species